rnacentral:rRNA from 1 species
AGCAUGUGUGUUAGUGGAAGCGUCUGGAAAGGCGCGCGAUACAGGGUGACAGCCCCGUACACAAAAGCGCAUGUGCUGUGAGCUCGAUGAGUAGGGCGGGACACGUGGUAUCCUGUCUGAAUAUGGGGGGACCAUCCUCCAAGGCUAAAUACUCCUGACUGACCGAUAGUGAACCAGUACCGUGAGGGAAAGGCGAAAAGAACCCCGGCGAGGGGAGUGAAAAAGAACCUGAAACCGUGUACGUACAAGCAGUGGGAGCACAGGUUUACCUGUGUGACUGCGUACCUUUUGUAUAAUGGGUCAGCGACUUAUAUUCUGUAGCAAGGUUAACCGAAUAGGGGAGCCGGAGGGAAACCGAGUCUUAAUUGGGCGUUAAGUUGCAGGGUAUAGACCCGAAACCCGGUGAUCUAGCCAUGGGCAGGUUGAAGGUUGGGUAACACUAACUGGAGGACCGAACCGACUAAUGUUGAAAAAUUAGCGGAUGACCUGUGGCUGGGGGUGAAAGGCCAAUCAAACCGGGAGAUAGCUGGUUCUCCCCGAAAGCUAUUUAGGUAGCGCCUCGUGAAUUCAUCUCCGGGGGUAGAGCACUGUUUCGGCUAGGGGGCCAUCCCGGCUUACCAACCCGAUGCAAACUGCGAAUACCGGAGAAUGUUAUCACGGGAGACACACGGCGGGUGCUAACGUCCGUCGUGAAGAGGGAAACAACCCAGACCGCCAGCUAAGGUCCCAAAGUCAUGGUUAAGUGGGAAACGAUGUGGGAAGGCCCAGACAGCCAGGAUGUUGGCUUAGAAGCAGCCAUCAUUUAAAGAAAGCGUAAUAGCUCACUGGUCGAGUCGGCCUGCGCGGAAGAUGUAACGGGGCUAAACCAU